UACGUAGGGGACAAGCGUUGUCCGGAAUCAUUGGGCGUAAAGAGCGUGUAGGCGGCUCGGUAAGUCCGCUGUGAAAGUCCAGGGCUCAACCCUGGAAUGCCGGUGGAAACUGUCGAGCUAGAGUCCGGAAGAGGCGAGUGGAAUUCCUGGUGUAGCGGUGAAAUGCGCAGAUAUCAGGAGGAACACCAAUGGCGAAGGCAGCUCGCUGGGACGGUACUGACGCUGAGACGCGAAAGCGUGGGGAGCAAACAGG
rnacentral:rRNA from 1 species